CUGAUUUCUGCCGAGGUAGGUUGAGUCUUUCGGGACUCCCUACCAAAGCGAAUACACCACUUGUGCACUAAAAUGUCUUUUGGGUCAUUUGGGAAAUUAUCUUGGAUGAUUAACCAGGGGCCCAGAUUUUUAUAAACCAAUUAAUAAUUUUGUCUGAAAUAAAUCUAGUAAUAGAAA
rnacentral:misc_RNA from 1 species